UGGGGUGUCGCCAAGCGGUAAGGCAACGGACUUUGACUCCGUUAUGCGUNGGUUCGAAUCCAGCCACCCCAGCCA
rnacentral:tRNA from 1 species